CCGGCGACCGGCGCACGGGUGAGUAACACGUAUGCAACCUGCCCGUCUCAGGGGGAUAAUCGUCGGAAACGGCGUCUAAUACCCCGUAUGAAGCUGGACGGCAUCGUCUGGUUUUGAAAGAAUAUCGGAGACGGAUGGGCAUGCGGCGCAUUAGCUAGUUGGCGGGUAACGGCCCACCAAGGCGACGAUGCGUAGGGGUUCUGAGAGGAAGGUCCCCCACACUGGUACUGAGACACGGACCAGACUCCUACGGGAGGCAGCAG
rnacentral:rRNA from 1 species